rnacentral:sRNA from 1 species
GCUAGGCGCCGUGGCUCACGCCUGUAAUCCUAGCAGCUUGAGAGGCUGAGGCAGGAGGAUCACAAGUUCAAAGCCAGCCUCAGCAAAAGCGAGACCCUGUCAGUGAGACCCUGUCUCUA